rnacentral:rRNA from 1 species
UACGUAGGGUGCAAGCGUUAAUCGGAAUUACUGAGCGUAAAGCGUGCGCAGGCGGUGAUGUAAGACAGGGGUGAAAUCCCCGGGCUUAACCUGGGAACUGCAUUUGUGACUGCAUUGCUGGAGUGCGGCAGAGGGGGAUGGAAUUCCGCGUGUAGCAGUGAAAUGCGUAGAUAUGCGGAGGAACACCGAUGGCGAAGGCAAUCCCCUGGGCCUGCACUGACGCUCAUGCACGAAAGCGUGGGGAGCAAACAGG